rnacentral:rRNA from 1 species
CAGCCGCCACGGGAAUACAGAGGGUGCGAGCGUUAAUCGGAUUUACUGGGCGUAAAGCGUGCGUAGGCGGCUUCUUAAGUCGGAUGUGAAAUCCCUGAGCUUAACUUAGGAAUUGCAUUCGAUACUGGGAAGCUAGAGUAUGGGAGAGGAUGGUAGAAUUCCAGGUGUAGCGGUGAAAUGCGUAGAGAUCUGGAGGAAUACCGAUGGCGAAGGCAGCCAUCUGGCCUAAUACUGACGCUGAGGUACGAAAGCAUGGGGAGCAAACAGGAUUAGAUACCCGUGUAGUCCCUGUCUCUUUACC